rnacentral:rRNA from 1 species
ACAGGGAUUGCCCUAGUAACGGCGAGUGAAGCGGCAACAGCUCAAAUUUGAAAUCUGGCUCUUUUAGAGUCCGAGUUGUAAUUUGCAGAGGGCGCUUUGGCUUUGGCAGCGGUCCAAGUUCCUUGGAACAGGACGUCACAGAGGGUGAGAAUCCCGUACGUGGUCGCUGGCUAUUGCCGUGUAAAGCCCCUUCGACGAGUCGAGUUGUUUGGGAAUGCAGCUCUAAAUGGGAGGUACAUUUCUUCUAAAGCUAAAUAUUGGCCAGAGACCGAUAGCGCACAAGUAGAGUGAUCGAAAGAUGAAAAGCACUUUGGAAAGAGAGUCAAACAGCACGUGAAAUUGUUGAAAGGGAAGCGCUUGCAGCCAGACUUGCUUGCAGUUGCUCAUCCGGGCUUUUGCCCGGUGCACUCUUCUGUAGGCAGGCCAGCAUCAGUUUGGGCGGUAGGAUAAAGGUCUCUGUCACGUACCUCUCUUCGGGGAGGCCUUAUAGGGGAGACGACAUACUACCAGCCUGGACUGAGGUCCGCGCAUCUGCUAGGAUGCUGGCGUAAUGGCUGUAAGCGGCCCGUCUUGAAACACGGACCAAGGAGUCUAACAUCUAUGCGAGUGUUUGGGUGUCAAGCCCGAGCGCGUAAUGAAAGUGAACGGAGGUAGGAACCCGCAAGGGUGCACUAUCGACCGAUCCUGAUGUCUUCGGAAGGAUUUGAGUAAGAGCAUGGCUGUUGGGACCCGAAAGAUGGUGAACUAUGCUUGAAUAGGGUGAAGCCAGAGGAAACUCUGGUGGAGGCUCGCAGCGGUUCUGACGUGCAAAUCGAUCGUCAAAUUUGGGCAUAGGGGCGAAAGACUAAU